GGAGUUGGCUAGACAGUCGCCCGUCACCUGUUUGUGGCGGGAGGAAAGUCCGGGCUCCACAGGGCAGGAUGCCAGGUAACACCUGGGCGCUAUAAGGCCGCAAGGCCCCAAGGCGACGGAUAGUGCAACAGAAACAUACCGCCGAUGGCCCGGACUUUGACGCUGCAAGGCGGCAAAGUCCUCCUUGAGUGGGGAGGGUUCGCUCUCGCUGCAAAGAGGGGUUGCGCACGAAGGUGCGUGAUCAGGGAUUUCGCACGAAGGUGCGUGGUCAAGGAUUGCACACGAAAGUGUGUAGUCAGGGAUUGCGCACGAAGGUGCGUGGUCAGCCCCGCAAGGGGCGGGCACAGGCAAGGGUGAAAUCGUGCGGUAAGAGCGCACGGUCGGGCGGGUAACUGUCCCGACGGGUAAACCCCAUCCGGAGCAAGGCCAAAUAGGCAGACGCGUUUUUCGGAACACCGGCGGCCCGCCGGAGUCUGCGGGUAGGCUGCACGAGGCGGUGCGUGAGCAUCGUCCCAGAUGAAUGACUGUCCACGACAGAACCCGGCUUAUCGGCCAACUCCCCCU
rnacentral:RNase_P_RNA from 1 species